UGGGGAAUAUUGCACAAUGGGCGAAAGCCUGAUGCAGCGACGCCGCGUGAGGGAUGACGGCCUUCGGGUUGUAAACCUCUUUCAGCAGGGACGAAGCGCAAGUGACGGUACCUGCAGAAGAAGCACCGGCUAACUACGUGCCAGCAGCCGCGGUAAUACGUAGGGUGCAAGCGUUGUCCGGAAUUACUGGGCGUAAAGAGUUCGUAGGCGGUUUGUCGCGUCGUUUGUGAAAACCAGCAGCUCAACUGCUGGCUUGCAGGCGAUACGGGCAGACUUGAGUACUGCAGGGGAGACUGGAAUUCCUGGUGUAGCGGUGAAAUGCGCAGAUAUCAGGAGGAACACCGGUGGCGAAGGCGGGUCUCUGGGCAGUAACUGACACUGAGGAACGAAAGCGUGGGUAGCGAACAGG
rnacentral:rRNA from 1 species